GUUACCUGUGACAUUUUCUGUCCGACCAUCCUAAUUUUGAUCAUUCAAUUAUUGGAACCUUCUAUUUUGAUUUUCUGAGUUAACA